CAAGACUAGCAGGACCUCCCGACGUGUCGACGACCCUGAUAAGAGCCGCGUAUCUCAGUCUCAGGACACGCCGGAUGAGUCACACUACAGGUAUACCAAACCUCAGGUUGCCCUGUGGUGGCCCCGUAGUCUGCCCAGUUUGGACCAACACUCAUGAGGAGCACUGGCCCGGGUUGUUGAUUAAGAAACCUCGGGGUAGCUAUUCCCUAUGCAGUUUAUUAUUAAGUGAUUAGCAAAUAGUACCAAUGUUGGGUCCUGCCGGACAAGCCUUAACACUACGCGAUUUAUCAAGGGGGUCCCCAUAACAACCCCGAACGUGUUAGGAGCGAUCAUUAUGGAAUCAAACACCGGUAACCGGUAACUAAG
rnacentral:lncRNA from 1 species